rnacentral:rRNA from 1 species
AUUAAACGCUGGCGGCAUGCCUUACACAUGCAAGUCGAACGGUAGCGCGGGGCAACCUGGCGACGAGUGGCGAACGGGUGAGUAAAGCAUCGGAACGUGCCCUGGAAUGGGGGAUAACGUAGCGAAAGUUACGCUAAUACCGCAUAUUCUGUGAGCAGGAAAGCAGGGGAUCGCAAGACCUUGCGUUCUGGGAGCGGCCGAUGUCGGAUUAGCUAGUUGGUGGGGUAAAAAGCCUACCAAGGCGACGAUCCGUAGCGGGUCUGAGAGGAUGAUCCGCCACACUGGGACUGAGACACGGCCCAGACUCCUACGGGAGGCAGCAGUGGGGAAUUUUGGACAAUGGGCGGAAGCCUGAUCCAGCCAUGCCGCGUGAGUGAAG